UUACAGAGAGGAAGGGAGAGGGAUAGAGAGUUAGAAACAUCGAUGAGAGAGAAACAUUGAUCAGCUGCUUCCUGCACACCCCCCACUGGGGAUAUGCCCGCAACCAAGGUACAUGCCCUUGACUAGAAUCGAACCUGGGAUAGAGCAGGCCAACGCUCUAUCCAGUGAGCCAGACCGGUCAGGGCCGUGUAUCCAUUUCUUAUAUGCCCUCCAAGCUGUUUCAAAUGCAUAUAAGCAAACAUACCUAUUUUUCUUACUUUCCUCUUUCUUUUACACACAGGUAGCCCUGCCUUUUUCACAUAACUAUGUGUCUAUCACAGAGAUCAUUCCACAUCAACAUGUAAAGAGAAGAGCACCCUGAUAUUUCACAGCUGCAUUCUAUUCUGUUCUAGAGAUGCUCCCUAAGUUCAUUUAACCAGUCCCUAUUGGCCAUCGCUUAUCCCUGCACCCCUUACCCCCACCUUGAGAAAGGCUGUGGGUUGGGACAUCUUGACAAGGGCCGGGCUGAGAACCCACCACAUGCAGUUUCCCCGAAGCAGUCACCCAGGCCACCACGUUCCCUUGCAAGUGCACUUGGUGGGAAAGAGGAGUUGUGUGAGGCUGGAGGUUAGCCCUUGGCCUGCAUUGGGAAGGAUAAGCCUUAACUCACUAUCCAUCUCUGCCCUCUUCUCCAGGCCUAUGGAGGGGCACGGCCUGGCACUGAUCCCCAGAAAGGUUCUUCCUGAUCCUUUGCUGCCUCCUCAGCCAUGUGUCCCAGGGCCUGCCCGGGGCUGGAAUGUAGGGACAGCUGCUGCCAUUCCAUUCCAGAGCGCGAAGUCCUCCUGCCAUGCUCUUCAUUUGGGGCUCUGCUGAAAAGGGUGUGAAGUUAUGGCGGGGAGGGGCUGGCCCUCACCCAGGGUCAGGGCCAGGGCCACAGGAGUACCGGGCAGCUGUGCAGGGGAGGGGGGAUGAAAAGGGUGCUAAACUGUAAGCACCGGCCCCCUGGAGAGAAGACAGGAGAACAACCAAGUUUGCCUAAAAAUAGGUAUCAACUCUAGUUUCUUUCUCCUGCGAGAGUGUCUGCUUUCUGCAUCUGCUCCCCUUAGGGCGGAAUUUACAUACCACAGCAUUCGCAAAGUACCGUCAAGGGUAAAACCUCCCCAAUGACUGUGCUGGAGCCUUCCCGUUAGAACCCAUUUCAUUCUCAGCCAGGUGCAGUGAUUUAGGGAGCCCACCUGUCAGGGAGGGUGCAGAGCAAAUAGAAGAUGUGGGCCUGCCCAUCGCAUCUAAAUGCAUUUCCCACUUAAACCUGCGUGUGAAUCUUGUUUAAAUGCAGAUUCUGAUGCAAGAGAUUGAGGGGCGGGGGGGGGGGGGGGGGGGGCUGAGACUGCAUUCUAACAAGCUCCCAGCUGCUGCUGCUGGUCCUGGGCCCACUAGCAGGGUUCUAAUCCAGAUCCUUCUUAGCUGUCUGUAGUAAUGGCGGGAACGCAAGGGCACAGAGAGACAUCGGAGCAGCAGGUAAUCCAAAGUGUCUUUCGAAUUGCUGUGCACUGUCUGCUUUCUGUUUAGCAGACUUGUUCGUGAUUCUGCUUUGCUAAGACUAACAUUAAAACACACUUGCGCCCUGACUGCCACAACAGCAGAAUGGGAGAGUCAGGCGGAAGCCAGCCCGGGACCGUCAGCUGUGACGCAGGCGACUGUGCGGACAGCUGGCUCAAGCACUGUUCUUAUUCCACUCGGCUCCGGGGAGAAAUCCCGUUCUGAAAAGCCAACUCCUGCCCCUGCCCCCUGCCAAGCUCCUGGAGACGCCAGCAUGGCGGAAUUGGAGUGACCCGAGAAUAGGGUGACCUAGAAUUAGAGGCGAGAGGGCUGGAUUCCUGUGGCACGUAGGGUUUCCGUCAGGGAGCGGGACGUAAUGCUGACCCCGGAGAGUAGAGCAUCUUCCUCUCUCAAGGGCUCACAUUAUGCCUGUCGUCUAUUCAAGGUGGUAACUGCGGGGUGAGAACAGAGAGGUCACCCUGUGGAGAGGUGAACUGCCCCAGCACCAGGACUGUGGAGAGCCAGGCCUUGUGAUGCAAUGGAUGGGUCCGAUCCAGGGGCCUUUGGCUCCCCCUGGAGAGAGGGAGGGCCCUAGACCGAACCCUUCUGUC